AAGACAUGCAAGUCGAACGAAGUGGCCCAACAAUGAUGGAGUGCUUGCACAAAAUCUGCGAUGGAUUUUCCACUUAGUGGCAGACGGUGAGUAACACGUAAGUAAUCUACCUUUAAGACUGGGAUAACGUUUGGAAACGGACGCUAAUACCGGAUGAUUCAUUUUUAGAUAACUAAUUAUGCUAAAAGGAGCUUCGGCUUCACUUAAAGAUGAGCUUGCGGCGUAUUAACUAGUUGGUGGGGUAAUGGCCUACCAAGGUGACGAUGCGUAGCCGAGCUGAGAGGCUAAUCGGCCACAUUGGGACUGAGACACGGCCCAAACUCCUACGGGAGGCAGCAGUUAGGAAUAUUCGUCAAUGGGGGAAACCCUGAACGAGCAAUGCCGCGUGAGUGAUGACGGUCUUAUAGAUUGUAAAACUCUGUUGUAAAGGAAGAACCCUUAUUAUAGGUAAUGAUAAUAAGUUGACGGUACUUUAC
rnacentral:rRNA from 1 species